rnacentral:lncRNA from 1 species
CGCGACAUCUCGGCUUGGGCAGCUGCCGAGAGCCACUCUCUGCUGCUCGGGAUGCUGAGAGGAAGGAGAGCGGGAUCUGGCCUUACAAACAUCAGUAUCGCCGCCAGCCCCCGCCGACAGGCCUGACUUCACCAGUCUCCUCGCCGCCUCCCUGCCAACAACGCUCCGUCCCUAUCUUCGGCCAACGCGAGCGACUUCCGGCGCAGGGAAGUGCGUCAUCAACACACCGGAAGUAAACGUCAUCACCCGGCGCCAGCCACACACGCCGUGAAGGCCUGAGCUUUAGACGCUGGUUCGCGCAGGUUGGGAAAGAGCCGCUGUUGGCACCAAGGUCGCCUCUCCUCCGCGCCACCAUGCAGGUCUCCAACCUCAACGAGGUGAAGAUUUACAGUCUCAGCUGCGGCAAGUCCCUUCCUGAGUGGCUUUCAGACAGGAAGAAGAGAGCGUUGCAGAAGAAAGAUGUCGACGUCCGCAGGAGGAUCGAGCUCAUCCAGGACUUUGAGAUGCCAACCGUCUGCACCACGAUGCAGGUGUCCAAAGACGGGCAGUACAUCCUCGCCACUGGAACAUACAAACCCUCGGGUUCGAUGUUAUGACACCUACCAGUUAUCCUUGAAGUUUGAAAGGUGUUUAGAUUCAGAAGUUGUCACCUUUGAAAUUUUAUCUGAUGAUUAUUCAAAGAUUGUCUUCUUGCAUAACGACCGGUAUAUUGAAUUUCACUCACAAUCAGGUUUUUAUUACAAAACCAGAAUACCCAAGUUUGGAAGGGAUUUCUCCUACCACUACCCGUCCUGCGACCUGUACUUUGUCGGGUGCGAGGUAUUGGGGCCAAAACUCUUUGCUUCCUUUUUUCCUCCUCCCAAAUAACCGCUUUCUCUUCCUAAAUUUCUUGUGCAUUUUAUUUAUCUGUUUAGUUAGCCUUGAUAAAGUUUAUGUGGUUACUGCAAAAAAAGAACAACAAAAAAAAGUCUUAGAAAACAAGGGAUAAACAGCAACAACAAAAAACCCCAGUGCUCUACAUAUUAAUGCAUUUGAUUUACAAGUGGCUUCCUGAUAUUUUAACACCUGUUAUACUGCCUACUAAAAUAUGUUCUAACAUUAAAAAUAUUUAUAAUAAUUACAUGUCACAGUAGUUAAUUAAACUCUGGGAAUACUGAUAGGAAAUACAUAAGCCUGUUGAAUAUAUCUCAAAUGCUUCACUGUGUGAGAUUGUAUUGUUUUUCUUUUUCUUUUGUACAUUUCUGUUUAUGUCUCCAAAGUUGUAGUUUCUGCUUUAGGUUUGUUCAGUAUCAGUGAUAAUUUUGUUUUGUUUUUGUUUUUUGAGACAGGGUCUUGGUGUGUAGCCCAAGCUGGCCUCGAAUUUGCAGUGAUCCUCCUGCCUCAGCCUCCUCAGUGCUGGGAUUACAGAUGUGUGCCACCACACCUAGCCUCAGUGAGGAGUUUCUGUCUGGGUCAUCUUGUGAUGAAGGGACUGUAGUUGGAGGACAUUUGGGCCAGGUGCUGAGAAUAGUCCUGAGAUCAUGAAGGCGGUGGUAAUGGAUCACGUGGCUCAUGUGUCAUGGCGUUUCAUUAUGGAGACCGGUGACCAUUUAACUUAAAAGGUUAAUGCAAACAUAGCCUCAUAUUGGUCUCGCCACAUAGUUGCUGAUCACUACUUGGAGUAUUUCAGUGGAACUAUUUCAAGUAGAAUAGGCCUGAGGCUCUAAUUCCAGCUACUUAGGAGGCUGAGACAGGAGGAUUGCAAAUUGGAGGCCAGCCUGGGCAACUUAGGAAGACCUUGUCUCAAAACAUAAAAGAGGGCUGGGGAUGUAGCUCCAUGACAAAACACCCCAGAGUUCUCUCAGUACCACAAAAAAAUGAGCAGACCGAUUAACAAAAACCAAAAGUGAAAAGAAAUUUUUUGAGAGGACCCUAAAAAACAUGAGACCUUUUUCCUGCCUUGGAGUUGCCUCGGGUUGUAGUGCGAAUUGCUCAGGGCUCACCCUUCCUGUCUGCUGGGGCGGAGAGAGGAGCCCGCUGGGGAGCUGCCCAGGAAGGGUGUGGAGGGUGAACUGCUGGGGAAGCCACUUUCUUGGCUCUGUCUCGUGGGAUUCCAGAACUUUAUUCUUUUUUUUAAAUACAUUUUAUUUUAUCCUGUUCCCCCCUUCAAGCCCCCUCCCGUCCCUAUGUACAGAAGCUUUGUUUCCAUUUUUUCCUUCUAUUUUCACUUUUUUCUUGUCUCUUUCCUCCCUCCCUCCCUUCUUCUUCUUUCCGUUUGAACACUUUCUUCCCAUUUCCCAACAUCCAUUAUACAUCUCAGUCCUUAUUUCCACAUUCAGUUUCUCACACCAGAGAAACAAUGUGGUAUUUAAACAUGUGUGUCCAACUUAUUUCACUUAAGAGUAUGGUCUCAAGGUGUAUCCAUUUAGAUAUAAAUGUCUGAAUCUCAUCCUUUAUGGCUGAGUAGUACUCCAUUGUAUAAAAAAAAAACCACAUCUUUAUCCACUUGUCAGUUGAUGGGCAUUGGGGCUGUUUCCAAGAUUUAGCUAUUACAAAUUGUGCUGCUACAAACAUGGGUGUGCAUAUAUCGCUGUGGCAUGAUGCUUUUAAUUCUUUGGGGAAGAUACCAAGAAGAGACAUAGCUGGGUCUAAUGGGACUUCCAGUCCUAGUUCUUUGGGGUGUCUCCAUACUGAUUUCCACAGUGGUUGCACCAGUCUACACUCCCACCAGCAGGAGAGAAGGAUUCCUUUUCUCCACAACCCCUCCAGCAUUUGUUAUUGGUUGAUUUCUUGAUAGCAGCCAUUCUUUGUGGGGUGAGGUGGAAUCGUAGCAUUGUUUUAAUUUGCAUCUCUCAAAUGACCAGUGAUGUUGAACAUUUUUUCAUAUAUUUAUUUACCAUUUCUAAUUCUUUAUCUGAGAAGUAUCUUUAUUUCAGAUGCCCAUUUUUGCUAUGGGUCUUUAAAUUUGAGGGAUCUGAUUUUUUUUAGGGUUUUUUUGGUACUGGGGAUCAAACUCAGGACCUUGCACUUGCGAGACAGGUGGCAGAACCACUGAGCUAAAUCCCCAGCCCUUGAGUUCUUUAUAUAUUCUAGAUAGUAGUCCUUUAUCUGAAUAGCUGGUAAAAUUUUUUCCUGCAUUGUGGGCUGUCUCUUCACACCGUUGGUGGUUUCUCUUUCUGUGCAAAAGCUUUUUAAUAAGAUGAGGUCCUAAUUGUUCAUAAAGUCUUUGCCUACUCCUAUGUCCUCAACUGCAGAACUUUGUUCUUUUUUUUUUUUUUUUUGGUACCAGGGAUCGAACUUGGGUCCUUGCAUUUGUGAGGCAGGCCUCGGAACCGCUGAGCUAAAUCUCCAGCCCCAGAACUUUAUUCUUAAGUGCUGCCUUUUUAUGAAUAUAAAAAUUAUGUGUUAUUUAUUUUAGAAAAUUGGGAAAAUACAGAAAAGUUUGAAAAAAUCUUGCUGUAUGGUUAUGCCACCCCAAAGAAACUGUGUUAGUAUUUUAUUGUGUUGCUUUUUAGUCUUUUGUUCAAUUUUUUUUUCUUGAACUGGGGAUCGAACUCGGGACCUUGUGCUUGAGAGGCAAGUGGUGGCACUACUGAGCUAAAUCUCUGGCCUUAGUCUUAUGUUCGUAUUAGAUACUUUAGGUACUUUUGGAUGUUCAGUCUCCUUAGUGACGUCCUAAUCUUUCCUUGGUGGUUUAACUCUUUUACAUGGCAAUUCCUAAAUGAGGUGAAUAUAGGUUUAGAACAGAUUUUUUUAUCAGUUUUACCAAAGAAGGUAAAUUGUGAGUGAUAUAUAUAAUUAUGAAAUUUAUAUUUACGAAACUUCUGUGUGCUUACAAGUUGAUCACCGUUCCCCAGGCAUUUAGCUUGCUUUGUUAUUUUGCAGUUCUGAAGUUUACAGAUUAAACCUGGAACAAGGCCGUUACCUGAACCCCUUGCAGACAGAUGCCGCGGUCGAGUGGAGUGCUGGGACCCUAGAGCCCGGAGCAGAGUCGGUCUGCUGGACUGUGCCCUAAACAGCGUCACAGUGGACUCAGAGGUCAGCAGCCUGCCGACCAUCUCUGCCCUGCGGUUCAGUGGUGCCCUCACCAUGGCAGUGGGCACGUCCACCGGGCAGGUUUUAUUAUAUGACCUUCGAUCCAGUAAGCCACUGCUAGUUAAGGAUCACCAGUAUGGGCUGCCCAUCAAGUCCAUCCACUUCCAGGGACGCUUUAGAUUUGAUUCUGUCAGCAGACUCUCGCAUCAUCAAAAUGUGGAAUAAGAACUCAGGGAAAAUAUUUACCUCCUUGGAGCCAGAACAUGACCUCAAUGACGUCUGCCUGUACCCCGGCUCAGGAAUGCUCCUCACUGCCAACGAGGCCCCCAAGAUGGGCAUCUAUUACGUCCCGGUCCUGGGCCCCGCGCCUCGAUGGUGCUCUUUCCUGGACAGCCUGACAGAAGAAUUAGAGGAAAAUCCAGAGAGCACGGUCUCACGACGAUUACAAAUUCGUCACCAAGAAAGACCUUGAAAAUUUAGGGCUCAUGCAUCUCAUCGGCUCGCCCUUCCUGCGGGCGUACAUGCAUGGGUUUUUCAUGGACAUAAGGCUCUAUCACAAGGUGAAACUGAUGGUCAACCCAUUUGCUUAUGAAGAGUACAGGAAAGAUAAAAUUCGACAGAAGAUAGAAGAGGCGCGGGCACAGCGCGUCCAGUUAAAGAAGUUGCCAAAAGUUAACAAAGAGCUGGCUCUCAAAUUAAUGGAGGAAGAAGAAGAGAAGCAGAAGUCUACAUGGAAAAGGAAAGCAAAGAGCCUUCCUAAUAUUCUCACUGAUGAUCGAUUUAAAGUUAUGUUUGAGAAUCCUGACUUCCAAGUAGAUGAAGAAAGUGAAGAAUUCAGGCUUUUGAAUCCACUUGUUUCAAAAAAUUAGUGAGAAAAGGAAGAAGAAACUAAGACUCUUAGAGCAACAAGAACUUCAGAGAAAAAGUAAC